rnacentral:rRNA from 1 species
UAACACGUGAGUGACCUGCCUUUUAGACUGGAACAACUUACCGAAAGGUGAGCUAAUGCCGGAUGAGUUAUAUAAGUGCAUGUUUAUAUAGGAAAAGUUGGGGAGACCUGACGCUGAAAGAUGGACUCGCGUCCCAUUAGCUAGUUGGUAGGGUAAUGGCCUACCAAGGCGACGAUGGGUAGCCGGCCUGAGAGGGUGGCCGGCCACACUGGGACUGAGACACGGCCCAGACUCCUACGGGAGGCAGCAGUGGGGAAUUUUGCGCAAUGCUCGUAAGAGUGACGCAGCGACGCCGCGUGAAUGACGAGGCCUUCGGGUCGUAAAGUUCUUUCGACAGGGAAGAAAAUGCCUAUAAGUAACUGUGUAUGUAUUGACGGUACCUGUAUAAGCAGCCCCGGCUAACUCCGUGCCAGCAGCCGCGGUAAUACGGAGGGGGCGAGCGUUGUUCGGAGUGACUGGGCGUAAAGAGCACGUAGGCGGUGUUGUAAGUCAUUAGUCAAAGACUAGAGCUCAACUUUAGUAAGGCUAGUGAUACUAUAAUACUAGAGUAUCAGAGAGGAUUGCAGAAUUCCUGGUGUAGCGGUGAAAUGCGUAGAUAUCAGGAGGAAUACCGUUAGCGAAGGCGGCAAUCUGGCUGGAAACUGACGCUGAGGUGCGAAAGCGUGGGUAGCAAACAGGAUUAGAUACCCUGGUAGUCCACGCUGUAAACGAUGGAUGCUAGGUGU